GCCCUGUUCUCUAGACCCCAAAUCGGAGAGAGUGGGUGUAUCUAGUGAUUGGUAGGUAACGUGAUCUGCCUUUUGUAGCAAGCCAGAAGCCAGAUGUCCCCUCCCCUUUGAUCUGAAUAACACUUUAGGCUGCAGACAAUAAGAUUGGUUUUAAAUUUAUUGUCUCUUUGAUUUCUGCAUUCUAACGCUUUUUAAAUUCUUUACACAAGACAGGGCUAUAUAUAGGCAACUGGGGUGGUUCAAUGGAGGCCAAAAAAAUGCCAGUAGAUUUUGAGAAGUGCUGGGCAAAGGCUCGUGCAUAUUUCUCUGCAAGGAAACAAAGACAACUUACUUGCGGAAUCCUCUGCGAACUUCUCUGUGAAGAAAGGACAAGCCAUGCAAGGACUCAGUGAGGUGAGGAAUAAGAAAACAUCAAAUGCUCAUUUCCCCUGCCUUCUGAGACUGCACCUUACCUUUGCAGCGUGGGAGCAGAGUCCCAGAGAAUCCCCUUUGUGUAGCACAUCCAUCUGAUUUUCUAGGCCGUCUUCAAUUCCUUGGAUAUCAGGUAUUAAGGUAGAAAGCACUUUUUUUUUUCCUCUCCUUUAUGGUUAUGAAAUAUGAAGGAUAGCCACAGCUGAAGCUUUUAAGCCUGAUGGGGAUGGCUCCCUAGAGAGGCUCUUACAAACUUAGAGGAUAGUCGGGAAGGGCUGUGAGUUUGGAAAAGCACUUCAGAAAAAAAUCCUGUGAAGUCAGCAACUACAGGAUAAUAUCCUAACAGGCAUACCUGGAGACAGACUCAGGCCCAGUCAUGGAACUGUUGAUGUGGCUGGAUUCGCUCAUCUUUUAAAGAGAGGUGUGUUAAAGUGACUGCUUCAAGGUGUCCUUUCAGACCUGUCUCUUCUCUACACUUUCAUCCUCUUUCAAUAAAUCUUAGAAUUCUUCCUAUUUGAAUGAAG
rnacentral:lncRNA from 1 species